rnacentral:rRNA from 1 species
GUCAUUUAGAGGAAGUAAAAGUCGUAACAAGGUCUCCGUUGGUGAACCAGCGGAGGGAUCAUUACCGAGUUUUCAACUCCCAAACCCCUGUGAACAUACCAUUUUGUUGCCUCGGCGGUGCCUGUUCCGACAGCCCGCCAGAGGACCCCAAACCCAAAUUUCCUUGAGUGAGUCUUCUGAGUAACCGAUUAAAUAAAUCAAAACUUUCAACAACGGAUCUCUUGGUUCUGGCAUCGAUGAAGAACGCAGCGAAAUGCGAUAAGUAAUGUGAAUUGCAGAAUUCAGUGAAUCAUCGAAUCUUUGAACGCACAUUGCGCCCGCCAGUAUUCUGGCGGGCAUGCCUGUUCGAGCGUCAUUUCAACCCUCAAGCCCCCGGGCUUGGUGUUGGGGAUCGGCGAGCCUCUGCGCCCGCCGUCCCCUAAAUUGAGUGGCGGUCACGUUGUAACUUCCUCUGCGUAGUAGCACACUUAGCACUGGGAAACAGCGCGGCCACGCCGUAAAACCCCCAACUUUUGAACGUUUGACCUCGAAUCAGGUAGGACUACCCGCUGAACUUAAGCAUAUCA